rnacentral:rRNA from 1 species
UACAGAGGGUGCAAGCGUUGUUCGGAAUUACUGGGCGUAAAGGGCGCGCAGGCGGCUCUUCAAGUCAGAUGUGAAAGCCACGGGCUCAACCUGGGAACUGCAUUUGAGACUGGAGAGCUUGAGUUCGGGAGAGGAGAGCGGAAUUCCCAGUGUAGAGGUGAAAUUCGUAGAUAUCAGGAGGAACACCGGUGGCGAAGGCGGGUCUCUGGGCCGAUACUGACGCUGAGGAGCGAAAGCGUGGGGAGCGAACAGG